ensembl:lncRNA
GAUUGAUUAUAUUGUCUCACUGUGUCUCUGUUUUACUUUGGCAGCCUUCUAUUUGGGAGAUUUCCCCCGACAUUUCUUGGUCCUUCGAGCCGGAUGAGACAGCCUAUUUAAAGCAGCUCUCACAGAAGGCGCCUCACCAGGUCCCGUCGGUGCGAGAAGCCCACGUUGAAGUCUGCCGGCAGCUCACGCACUAGGUGCGUGAUAAAACCCAAGAGCGUGAAUUCGGGUCUUGGUCAACGUUUUACAAGCGGUCCGCACCGUCGGGGGCUGAUCAGGUGCAUCUGAAGAAACCAGCGCCAAGUAUCUUGCAGGUUGAAGCCAGGUGAUUGAGUCCUGAUUCGAGUUCUCCAGAGAAAGAAUUGGAGCUCGCCCCGCUGGGAAGGCCCAUACCAAGUGCUUAUCACCACACCAACUGCCUGUAAGAUAGCAGAAAGACCAUCUUGGAUUCACCAAAGCCACUGCAAGAAAGGACCACCCCGAUACGAGGUAAUCACCGUCGAAAACGCUGGACGUGACAACGGAACGUGUGACCAGCUCUUCUGGAUCAACUUCAACGUGACGAAUCGGAACACAUCCAUUCACUUCCCAGUGUUCUUGGACCAAACCCCAGGGAAGAACCACUCCAUGUGCUACCGACAAGACAACGGUAACAGACCCCUAGGCAACACCACCAACUGUAACCAAACCGCUGCCAACGGAGAGGGCGCACCUGUAAACACGUCCGCGCCCAGCAACGGCACCUACUGGGUGCAGGGAAUGGCCUGGCUGUGUGGACAACGUGCCUACUUCAUACUACCACCCGGAUGGACGGGCACCUGUGCCCCAAUCUUCAUCUCAGACCACACCUUCAGGAUGUCAGCUGUAAAUAGCUCUCAGACUACAAGACGACGACGAGACGUCUCCACACUACAACCACAUGACCCCAUCUAUGGCAGUGAUGUGCCAGAGGAAUUUAAGCUUUGGACCACCGGACAAAAGGUCCUCCACUCACUGUUUCCAUGGGUGGGCACCGGAAAGAACAUGUUAAGGAUUGACACUUUGGACUGUUCCUGAAUGCCUCGUGCAAAAUCAACAAUCAACAAAAUGAAGAGAUUGAUGCCCUGCGCAUAACUGUGAUGCAACACCGAGUCGCACUGGACAUGAUUCUGGCUGAGAAAGGAGGACUCUGUAUACUCUUUAACAACACAUGCUGUACGUACAUUCCAGAUAAUGUUCACUCUUCCAACAUGACCGACGCCUUACGCACGCUGAAACAACUCAGGGACGCUCAGCAACAGGACUAUGUCACGAACACUGAGGAUUGGCUUACCUGGCUGUUGAGUGGUUCCUGGAAAUCUCUUUUAAUAAAAGGACUGGUUUUUGUAGGAGUUCUUCUACUCCUACUCUGUUGUUUUACUUCUUGUAUUUUGCCAUGUGUACAAUCAAU